rnacentral:tRNA from 1 species
GGCGGUAUCGUCUAGGGGUUAGGAUACAUGGUUCUCAUCCAUGAGACCGGGGUUCGAUUCCCCGUACCGCUACCA